AGUGAACGCUAGCGGCGUGCUUAACACAUGCAAGCCGAACGAGAACGGAUUAUAGCUUGCUAUAAUUGUCAGCUAAGUGGCGCACGGGUGAGUGAUGUACAGGUAAUAUGCCUCUUACUAAGGGAUAACAAUUGGAAACGAUUGCUAAUACCUUAUAUUCCUUUUUAUCAAAAGUUAAAAGGGAAAGAUUUAUUGGUAAGAGAUUAGCCUGUAUUGUAUCAGUUAGUUGGUGGGGUAAUGGCCUACCAAGACAAUGACGCAUAACUGGUUUGAGAGGAUGAUCAGUCACACUGGAACUGAGACACGGUCCAGACUCCUACGGGAGGCAGCAGUGGGGAAUAUUGCACAAUGGACGAAAGUCUGAUGCAGCAACGCCGCGUGGAGGAUGACACAUUUCGGUGCGUAAACUCCUUUUAUAUAAGAAGAUAAUGACGGUAUUAUAUGAAUAAGCACCAGCUAACUCCGUGCCAGCAGCCGCGGUAA
rnacentral:rRNA from 1 species